rnacentral:tRNA from 1 species
UGUGACAGAAUAGUGUGAUAAAAUUAAGAUUUAUUUAAAAAGUUCAUCUUUCUUUA